CUGUAAUCCAAAGUUCCGACGCCCUAGGAUGGAUCUGCGGCCGAUUAGGUUGUUGUUGGGGUAAUGGCCCAACAAGCCCGUAAUCGGUACGGGUUGUGGGAGCAAGAGCCCGGAGUUGGAUUCUGAGACACGAAUCCAGGCCCUACGGGGCGCAGCAGGCGCGAAAACUUUACAAUGCGGGCAACCGUGAUAAGGGAACCUCGAGUGCCUGUAAAUGCAGGCUGUUCAGGUGCCUAAAACACACCUGAAGAAAGGGCCGGGCAAGACCGGUGCCAGCCGCCGCGGUAAUACCGGCGGCUCGAGUGGUGGCCGCUUUUAUUGGGCUUAAAGCGUUCGUAGCUGGGUUGUUAAGUCUCUUGGGAAAUCUGGCGGCUUAACCGUCAGGCGUCUAAGGGAUACUGGCAAUCUUGGAACCGGGAGAGGUGAGGGGUACUUCGGGGGUAGGAGUGAAAUCCUGUAAUCCUCGAGGGACCACCUGUGGCGAAGGCGCCUCACCAGAACGGCUUCGACAGUGAGGGACGAAAGCUGGGGGAGCAAACCGGAUUAGAUACCCGGGUAGUCCCAGCCGUAAACUAUGCGCGUUAGGUGUAUCGGUGACCUACGAGUUACCGAGGUGCCGAAGGGAAACCGUGAAACGUGCCGCUCUGGGAAAGUACGGUCGCAAGGCUGAAACUUAAAGGAAAUUGGCGGG
rnacentral:rRNA from 1 species